rnacentral:tRNA from 1 species
GCCGGGAUGGCGGAAUUGGCAGACGCGCUAGGUUGAGGGCCUAGUGGGGUGAGUAACCCCGUGCAGGUUCGACCCCUGUUCCCGGCACCA